UACGUAGGGCGCGAGCGUUGUCCGGAUUUAUUGGGCGUAAAGAGCUCGUAGGCGGCUUGUUGCGUCGGCUGUGAAAACCCGCAGCUCAACUGUGGGCUUGCAGCCGAUACGGGCAGGCUUGAGUUCGGUAGGGGAGACUGGAAUUCCUGGUGUAGCGGUGAAAUGCGUAGAUAUCGGAAGGAACGCCGGUGGCGAAAGCGGCGUGCUGGACCGCUUCUGACGCUGAGGCGCGAAAGCCAGGGGAGCAAACGGG
rnacentral:rRNA from 1 species